GAGGGUAUAGCUCAGUAGUAGAGUGUGUGCUUAGCAUGCAUGAGGUCCUAGGUUCAAUUCCCAGUACCUCCA
rnacentral:tRNA from 1 species